CAGGGAGACAACAAAAUGUUUAAUAUUAUUAUUUUGUCACCUUAGGUCGAUCGGUAUCUCACAUUCUUAAUUCAUUAAGGAUUUCAUUUCCUAAGUUUUCUAGGUCACACCCAUUAUUUUUCCUGGGCCAUUAGCUCAGGUGGUUAGAGCGCACCCCUGAUAAGGGUGAGGUCCCUGGUUCAAGUCCAGGAUGGCCCAUAUCUCUAUGUUGGGGGUAUAGCUCAGUUGGUAGAGCGCCUGCUUUGCAAGCAGGAUGUCAGCGGUUCGAGUCCGCUUACCUCCACUGAUUACCACCUCUUCCAUACUCUGUAGAUCAGGAAAUAUUUUGAGUUGUGAUCAAAUUCUGAACGAAUCUAGCUUCCUAAUAAAGACAUUAAGAUGCUGGACUCAUUGAAUUAUUUUCAUUGUUUUCAGAGAACCUUGACAACUGCAUAGAUUAUUUUUAAAGACAAUAAGCAUCUUUAAUGAUGCAGAUUUAUUAUUUGUGCGAAUGCAUUAAUAACAAUUCUAUUAAGCUGAUGCUUCAAUUAUUGAAGUUAUU
rnacentral:tRNA from 1 species